AUGCCAAAGAUUCAUAUAGACAGCAUUUGUUAUGUCUGGGAUUUGUAUCUCUUGAAGUAUUUUAUUUCAAAAAUGAACUUGUUUUUAUGUAGGACAAUUUUUCUUUUUUAUUAUGUGAAGGAUCUUUUUUUACUAACAAGAUUUUUAAGUAAAUGGUCUUUGCAAUUUCACUCACACUUUUACACUGCAAAUUGUUUUAAUAUGAAUGUUUUCAGUUGUUCAUUUUUAUUGAUCUUAAUAUCCUUGUCCUCUAUAAAAUGA